rnacentral:lncRNA from 1 species
GUUUAUGCUGGUUCUGCUAGCAGUUCAUGCUACUGGGGAACAAUUAAACAUUUUGCAUAUCCACUGAGCCACCAUAAUUACCUUUUGAGAAAAGAUAAUCAGUUCCAUUGCCGUGCACUCAGACAUGUGGGUGUAUUUGCCAGACACUUGAAGUAUGCUAGGUUAGCAAACAAAUUUGAAGCACUCCCCGCUACACCCACAUUUUAAACAGUGCAGGAUAAAAACACAACCGGUUUACUCUCUCCUCUUUCUCUCUCAUGUUCAACAACACCAGAGUCCGAAAACACACUGCUGCCGUCAUAGCGGUGUAUUUCGGCUUUACAGUGGCAAACAGAUACCUCUGGCCAAUGUUUUCACAUACAGAAAUUGGCAGGAUACGCGGUUCAUUGUCGUCAUUCGCUGGGAAAAGUCAGAAGCCAGGCGGAAUUGUCCGAGCCGUUCCUUGCAGGAGGAUUUGUCAGGAGGAAUUAUCCGUGCAAAGAUGUCAAGUUAUCAGAUGUAAAGAAAUACCUCUUCUCAUCAGGCAGAGCAUCACCGACCGUUUGUCAAAACAGCAUUUUCAUCAGGCUUGUUUGGAAAAAGACUUCAUGCAGAGGGAACAUGCUGCAUCCAGAA